ensembl:rRNA 5S_rRNA 5S ribosomal RNA
GCUUACGUCCAUACCAACCUGGCUAUGCCCGAUCUCGUCUGAUCUCGGAAGCUAAGCAGGUUUGGGCCUGGUUAGUACUUGGAUGGGAGACCGCCUGGGAAUACCAGACCGCCUGGGAAUACCAGGUGCUGUAAGCU